CUCUCGGAAGCGGCAGCGGCAGCGGCAAAGCAGUAGCGGCAAGGCGUCAGCAGCAGCGGCAGGACAGCAGCAGCUUGCCAAGGAAUUUUGCAGCAGUUUCUUGUGGUGCUGAAGGCAGCAGGAGCUUGUGUGCGUCGAGAGCAGCUUGAGAGCUAAUAAUCCCGAUGGAUCCUCCUUCAUUUGAUCUGGGAUUGUCCCAGAAUGCCACUGAUCUUGUUGAGAACGCAGCUCCUUUCUUGAAUUUGGUUCUCUAGUUUUUAUGUAUUCUUGUUUACUCACUUGCAAUCAUUUGAGUUUGAUAGGUUUGUCCUGGGAGGAAUCGCAGUGGGCGUGGUGGGCGUGGUCGGCGUGGUCGGAGAGAGGUUGGCCGCCAACCUUUUCAACCAAUUGUUCGAAUGAGGAGGAUGAGAAUCCAUUGGAACUGGUUAUACCAGCAGGGACCUGAAAGAAGUAUGAGUAGGCAACAUCGAAGUUUUAUGCAUGGCACGAGGCACAGGGCCCAGAAUUUUCCUUACAGGAUCUGAGACUGAUUGAGGAACUUCCUGCAAAGGAGCUUUCCCACCAGCUUGCAUUGUUCUACAAGCAUGUUUUGAGAGACGAUGGGAAGCCUUACCCUCCAACAACUCUGAGGGAUAUGUUUUUUUGCUUUAACCGAGUAUUGAAGCUGGCAAGAGAAGCCCGAGUUGCAAGAACAAGAGUUUUAGAAGAAGAAGUUGACAUCCUGAAUGAUUUAAGGUUUCUUAUAGCAAGGAACACUGCUAGCCAUGUAAUUCGAAAAACAGCACUAGAAACUACAAGGCCAACAAGUACAGGGUCAAAGCAUGUGUACUUGUCGAUGGCUGAGCUUAAGGCAAUUCUCACGUUGCCAGAGUUUCUACCUAACAGUCCUAAUGGACUGUUUUGGUUAGUUGUACUAUUCUGCAUGAAUUUCUUUCUUGUACGUGGGAGGAAGGAAUUGUAUGACUUGCAAUUCACUGAUUUUACACUUUUGGAAGAUGUUGUUGGUUGCUAUAUCCAAUUCAACCAACGUGUUUCCAAAAACUACCAAGUGGAUCUGAUGAAUUGUAAGAACAUGGAUCGGCGGCCUGCUGUGGAUCUCUAUGAAAUAGCUGCUCUCUUAGUCUACAAGGCAUUCAAGCUUUUUUUCGAUAAGCA